rnacentral:rRNA from 1 species
CUGAUAAAAAUAUUAAAGGGCUGCAGUAUUUUGACUGUACAAAGGUAGCAUAAUCAUUAGUCUCUUAAUUGGUGACUUGUAUGAAAGAUUGGAUGAGAUAUAAACUGUCUCUUAUUUAUUUAUAAAAUUUAAUUUUUUAAUUAAAAAGUUAAAAUAAAUUUAAAAGACGAGAAGACCCUAUAGAGUUUAAUAAUUUUUAAUUUAAAAAUUUAUAUAAAAUUUUAAUAAUUAAAUAAGUGAAUUAUUUUAUUGGGGUGAUAAAAAAAUAAAAAGAACUUUUUUUUAAAAAAAAACAUAAAUAAAUGAAUUUUUUGAUCCAAAAAUUUUGAUUAAAAGAAAAAAUUACCUUAGGGAUAACAGCGUAAUUUUUUU